UCGAAUGUCAUUGCACAUAUUAGUCUGUGGUCAUUGCAUUCAAAAUUUGACGAGUGCAUUCACCAUGUUUUUAGACAUCUUAGCACAGAUUACGGAUAUCAUAUCAUAUGUUAUCCGUAAUCUGUGCAUCUUAGUCUUGUCUUGCGCUCGACGUAGUACCUCCGUUUAAAAUUCAACAAGUGCAAAGUGCAAUAAAAUAAAGUUUAACGAAAUGGAAUACGAAGUGAUAAAUAUUGGAACAGAAAUUAUCCUCUGAAACAUAAAGAUAUUUAAAAAAGCGGAAUUGUAUUGGACAAAUCAGUCACAUGAUGAAGUAAUGAGAUUGUUUGUGAAGGAUAAUCUAAAUGAGGAAAAUGUGGUACCAGUCGUAUUGGCGUCUUCAUCCAGAGGAAGUUUAUUAGAAAUCACUAAUCUCACUAAAAAAAGAACUUUGAACAGCGCUGAGGAAGGCAGUAAAAAAAAAAUAAAACUUCAGAGCUGUUAGCAUUUCUGGUGAAUACGCAUACCACCAUACGCCACCAAGAAAGAAUGGCGCUUCAAAGAGAGUUCUUAGAGCAAUUGAAGAACCUAGUGGAUUCUAAAAAAGGUUGAAAGUUAUGAAAUGUGAUAUUUUGGAUUUUCAAGACUUGUUAUUGUUAUGUUUUUUACCAUAUAUUUAUACUUGUUACUUAUAAUGUUGAUAUUUUCUCAUAAGUAUGUAGUUUAUUCAAUAUAAUAAUAAUAUCAACUUCA